UUUCUUUCUCUUCACUCGGGUUUUCCUAAAUUUUUUUUCUUGUUCUCUCCGAAGAGGCGAAACGGCGAAACUCGGAGACCUUUCUUCGUCUCCGAUUCCGGUGUGUUCCGACCACUUCCGGUGAUCUCUUCUUCUCCUCGUCUCCUCGUCUCCUCGUGUCCACCGAGCUCGUCGUCUCCACCGUCUCCUCUGUCUCGCUGAUGCAGAUCAUUCGAACAAAUGCAAUAACAUCCUUGUCCAAUCUGCGGCUGCGCUUGGGAGUUUCGCUUGUGGGUUUGAAGCCGGAGUUCAAGCUGUUCUUGAUGCCGGUGUUUUCACUCGUCUUCUUCGUCUUCUCACUAAUCCUGACGAAAAGGUAGUAGAUGCAGGGGCUCGUUCCCUUAGAAUGAUAUUUCAAUCUAAUCAAGCUCCAAAGUACGAUUUUCUUCAAGAGAAAAACAUGGAGUUUCUAUUCUCGUUGUUGAAUAGUGAGAAUGAGAAUGUUAGUGGACUUGGUGCGAGCAUCAUUGCUCAUGCUUGUGGAACAAGUGUAGAGCAGCGGGUUCUUUGUGAAGCUGGUGUCUUGGAAAAGCUUGGUAUCCUUCUUGAUGGUUCGUUAAGCCAAAGAGAAGCUGAUAUUGAUCUCAGCCAAUUGCCCACCGUUGAGGAGAUCAGAGAUUAAGUACUACGCUAUGCUUGCCAAAGUUGGAGUUCAUCACUACAAUGGCAACAAUGUUGAUUUGGGAACUGCUUCUGGUAAAUACUUCCGAGUCUCUUGCCUCAGCAUCGUCGAUCCUGGUGAUUCUGACAUCAUCAAGGCUCUUCCUAGUGAUCAGUGAUUGAUUCUCAUUUUGACUAUGAUUUUGCCUUGUUGUUCCCUCUAUGCUUUAUUAUGCAAAUGUGUUCUUCUUCAAAGACUAAAUGUUAGGUUUUAUUUGGUUGUUAAAACUUCGAAGUAGAAGAAGAAGAAGGAAGAAGGGGUGUGGAUCGAACGUUUUCAGGGUCGUGGAAUG